GAUUGAGCUGGCAUUCGGAUUCCUGAGAUCAAAAUACAUGAGAAUAGCGUGAGGCACUCUUCAAAAAAAAAUCUGUGCUUUCCUCUCAGAUUGUGAGAAAAUUCCAAGGCUAUAGGCUUAUCGUUUUUUUCGGCGAAAACGUGGAAUAUCCCUCAGAAUAAUACCAGGACGCUUUUCCUACGUAAAAUUGCGUGAUAAACACAACGCCGUCAAUGAAAUUGAGCUGGCAUUCGGAUUCCUGAGAUCAAAAUACAUGUGGAUAGCGUGAGAAACCCUUCAAAAAAAAAU